rnacentral:lncRNA from 1 species
CUGCAUCAAUUUCAAACAUACAUACGGUGGGCACUAUGCGAUUCGAUAGACAAUCCUAAGCCUUUGAUAAACAUAAUAAGGCUAAGAUCAUCAAGCAAACAACCUGGAUCCAAACUACAAAAUAUUCUAAUAGUUUAAACUGGAAUUGUCUAUAACUAGCAUCCUACUCACAAUGUCCAUAUAUAUAUGAAAAUAAUCAUCCGUACAGUCCAAUUAAACAAAUUAUAAUUCUAACAAACUGGUUCCUAGUAUAAUAAUUACAUAUCUCAGUUCUGAAUCAGCUACUAGAUAACGAGGAGGACUAAUAGGACUACAGUAAACCAAUUAAACAGAGCUGAGCAUGAGAAGUCAUGGAUAGUCUUCAUUUCACUCUUAAAUGGAGUUAUACAGCAGAGCAGCAGCAGAAUAAGUACCUGCGUUAAGGCAAAAUGAAGAGAAAUCAGCAAUGAGAAACAAACAAGUAGCAGUUGAAAACCAGUAGCAAAUCACUUUUAGAACUCAGGGACUCAUAUCAAAUAACCCAGGACAUGAUUUCAGGCAAGUAACACCAGUAAAAAAACCCAAAAUAGCCUCGAUUGAACUCAAACACACUCGAAGUUAACCCAGGAAACUCCAGAAACUUCAACAAUCAAACCCUAGGCUAAAUGAUGCAAAUCGAGCACUAGAAUUUGAAAUUGACUUGAACUUCAAUAAAACAGUGUUGUUAGAGUUUUCUAUUGGGUUUUUAGGAUCUAAAUGAUCUAAUUUGAAAGGAAAACUUUCAGAUGUUCAGACUAACAACAUUUUUUAUUUUUGUUUUGAAUUUGAAUUGCAGAGAAUGAAUUAGGAGUGUUUUGGGGAAAUUUUCAGGGCUAGAACUUUUUGGAAAUUUUUCAGGGUUCAAAAACUUGUUCAAUAAGGCAAUGGUAUGUCUUUUUAUAGGCAAGACUGAGAGCAAUCUUCCUAUCUUCGUUUUAUCUAUUAGUCCUUCUUUUAUUUUUAUUUUUUAGCUUAGGCAACCUUAGAUUCCUGACUUGUGCCUCAAGUUACUGCCCUAAAUUAUCGAUAUUUCAAUUGAAGUCCUAUUAUGGAGAAUCCUAGAAGGUUCUAGCUUCAACUACAGCCUUCCCACCCAAUAUUGAAUACCUAAAUUUACCCUGAAAUCCCCUGAAAAUACCAACUUUAUGUCAAUUAACCCAACCCUAUUACUUUGAUCAAAAUUAACCGUAGUUAACAAAACAAAUGUAGUAAUCAGCUAUACCCAAACAAACUAAACUAAGCCUACUAACUAAUUAAAACUAAAUAGUGAAUUAAGGAAUUACUAAUAACAAUUACUGGUUAAACUGAACUAAAAUAAAUCAAAUUAAUUAAAACUAACAUACCAAACAACUAAAAAAAAUUGAAAUCGAACAAUGCCUAAAACAGAAUCGACUAAAGCAGAUAAAGGAUUAAAGGCUAUAGUAGUGAGCACCAAAUUGAACUAAAAUAUGUAUCACGACAGAUUAAAAAAAUGAAAAUUAAACUAAUACCUAAAAUUACCAAGAUAGGACUAAACAAAUCAAACAAAAAUUAAACUGAAAGCUUAAAACAAUUACAAAAGCAGAACGAAACAAAUAUUGAACCAAGAACAAAAUCAAAACACAAUCGAACGAAGACUUACUGAUCUUGCCCUUCGAUGAGUUGAAUUCGAAUUCAGCCCCCCAAAUAAUAUUAUAUGCUUGUUCUUGGUAAGAACAAGCAUAUAAUGUUAUUUGGAAGUUCAAAUUGACGCUUGACAAUCUUUUAAAAAAUAUCCAUCAGUCUCUUAUAACCCUAGAUCUAAAAUUUCACAAAUUCUUGUUGGAUUUGGGGAAAAUGGUUUAAAUAUCUAGGUGAAAGAGGGUGACGGGAGUGUGGUGUGUGAUUUGGUAGGUUUUGGCCGAAUUUAGGGUUUAGGUCGGAACCUUUGAUUCAAGAUUCGACGACUCUGAGGGGGAUUCGAGGGAAAGAGUUUGGGGAUUUAGAAAGAGGAGAGUGAGGGGAUGCUAUGGUGUAAUUUUGGGACUGGUUUGGAUGGUGGCGCCGCCGUGGGCGGCGGAGGCGGCGUCACUAUUUUGGAUAUUCGACGAGUUGGGAUGAGAUUCAAAGGCUGGUAUUUGGGCAUUAGAAAGAGGAAGAGGAGGGAAUUCAAAGGUGUAAAUUUGGGCGGGUUUGGAGCUUCGCUACCGGCGGAGACGAUUUUCGGCCGGCUACAGCGACGCGGAGGGUGGCGGAGAAAACAAGUACGAGGAAGAGAAGGGUCUGUCUUUAGAGUUCCUUUUAAUUUAAGAAAGUUUUAUUUAAUGAUGUUAACUAAUAGGGACCGUUGGAUGAUAACAAAGGGCAUACGAGAUUGAUCAAAGCCUGAAGAUCUCAAAACAACUUAGUAUUUUUUAUCGGCAUGAUACUACGUCGUUUGAGUGUCUAGGGGACUGAUAAAUUAGACCGGGUAAAAGGGUGCAUAUGGGCCAUUUUUGGCUGGAUUUGAAGAGGGGUUUUGGGCUGGAAUCACAAAAUGGCCCAAACAAGCCUACUAAUUUUAAACCAAAUCCCAUUUAAUAUCUUUAUUUUUUUUCCUCUUUUCCUCAUUUAUUUAUUUAAAUCAUUUUUUAUUUCUUUAUUUUUUUUUAGAUUUUAAAUGCUAAAUUAAUUAAAACCUAAUUUAAACCUAAAAUUAAUCUACUCAUUUCCUCAAAAUUGAUUAAAUUCUGAUUUUAAAGAGAAACUAGGACAAAAAAAUUGAAAAUUAAAAGAAAAAAUGCCAAGAGCUAAUUUUUGUUAUUUUCUCUUAUUUUGCAAUGUCAAUUAACUAAUAAACCUAAGAAAAAUUAUAGAAUUAGGUCCUAGAUGCAAAUGUGCUAUUUUUAUAUUUUUCAUAAAUUAUAUUAAUUAAAAAAUACACAAAAAUGCAAACAAGCACAAAAACCAUACAAUUAAUUCCCUAAAAUUCAAAUAAUAAAAGAAAAAUCUUAAUUUUAAGAAUUCUAUGGGAAUAUUUCAAGCGAGGCAAAAAUCACGUGCUCAUAGUUGGUUCUCGAAUGGGUUCACUUGAUUCCCUAUUUCUCCUAAUUUUAAAAGAAAACUAUGACAAAACCCGAAUAGUAAAAAUACAAAAAAGCCAAUUUUUGUUAUUUUGCGAUGUCAAUUAACUAAUAAACUUAAGAAAAAAUAUAUAAUUGAGUCCUAAAUGUAAACAUGCUAUUUUGUAUUUUUAUGAAUUAUAUAAAUUAAAAAUACACAAGAAAUGCAAACAAGCACAAAAUCAUACAAUUAAUUCCCUAAAAAUUCAAAUAAUAAAAGAAAAUUCCUAAUUUUAAGAAUUCUAUAGGAAUAUUUCAAGCGAGACAAAAAUCACGUGCUCACAUCAUUGAAAUCAAAAGAUAACAAGGUCUAUACAUCCAAACGGACGGAACAUAGAAUCUGAAUUACAACCUUGGAAUAAUCCAGAUAAACUGAAAGAAAAUCAAAGCAAACUACCAAAACUCCUUCCGGUAGGGAGAGGGGUAGCCUCCCAAUUGUUAAGUUUUGUGCUCAGUCCAACCAACUUCCACCAUGUUCACAUUGUCAAACAAACUCUCGAACCUUUCAAUUAACUCUUCAUCAACGUCGACCACAAAACUUGGAGCUGUUGUCACAUGGCGUUUCUUGGCACCAGGCUUGACAAACGACAUGGAGAGACGCGGUAUAGGCUUUGGAAGGGCCCAUGCCCUCUAUUUCAACUUUCUAGCUCUUUUCACGUCCGGCUGUGGGCUUGAAUCCCAUACCAAAUAUACCCAAGUCUUUAGGGAGAGACACUGACUGUAUGAUACCCUUCAGAGAUGCACCCAGACCCUUACUAGGUGCAAAGCCAUUUUUCAGUAUUUCAAAGGCCACCAUGAAUGAUGCGGUGGUUACCUUCGGAAUUGGAAUGCAUUUCCCUUUUGGAAUUUUCUCGACCGGCACUAUUUCAAAAACUUGAUAGACCCAAGGCCCUUUGUCAUCUUCAACCUGAAUGAACGGGACAACGACAUCACUGUGAGCACACAAAUUAUCCUCGCCAUGCACAAUGAUUUCCUGCCUAUCUCAUUCAAACUUGACAAUCUGGUGUAGAGUGGAUGAGAUUGCUUUGGCGGCAUGAAUCCAAGGUCGACCUAACAACAGAUUAUAGGAAAUAGCUACAUCCAGCACCUGGAACUCCAUGGUGAAUUCAACCAGUCCUAUUCUCAACUCGAGCACUAUAUCACCAACUGAAUCUUUCCCUCUGCUAUCAAAUCCCCGAACGUAGAUAUUGUUCUUGUAAAUCCUUUCAUCCUCCAAUUUCAACUUGUUCAGAGUAGAGAGAGGGAAAAUGUUUGUGCUGGAACAAUUGUCAAUCAAUACCCUGGUAACUACGAAUUCUUCACAUUUCACCGUAAGAAAAAGGGCUCUGUUGUACUCAGUACCCUCCAUAGACGACUCACCAUCAUAGAAAGUGACUAUGUUUACCUCAAAUAUCUUAUUGGCAAUGUUUUCCAUAUGGUUCACUAAGAUUUUGUUGGGAAUGUGAGCCUCGUUCAGGAUUUUUAUCAAGGCCCGGUGAUGCUCGUCUGAGUGGAUUAGCAAUGACAACAGUGAAAUCUGAGCAUGGGUCUUCCUCAACUGCUCCACAAUGGAAUAGUCUUGCACCUUCAUCUUUCUCAAAAACUCCUCUGCCUCUUCUUCAGUCACAACAUUCUUCACUAAAACUAGGUUAUCUUUGGAGGUCUUAGAUUUUCUUACCUCGUCUGAGGCGAAGCACCUCCCCAAAUGAGUUAAUCCAUGUGCCUCAUUGACUUCUUCUUUAACUUUCUUUCCUUUGUAGGUCAUCGUUACCUGUUCAUAGUUCCAUAGAAAAGCCUCAUUGUUGACUAUCGGUAACUGGGUUAUAGGCUUGAUAAUGACAGGAUCUAUGCGGUCACUCUCUACAAUUACGGCAUGCUUGUUUGACGCUCUUGGCACAACCACUUUUGACCUUUCUUGUUUUGCUGCAACAUCACUUGAGGAUCCGUUCUUAACUACCGUAGAUGGUUCACAGUUUGUCCCGCUCAACUUGAUAAUUCAUCCCUCACUUGUUGACUUUUUAACUGGUUUGACCUCACUGGACCGAAUCAUCAUGACAGUCUACGAAGGCUUCUUGGGCUCCCCUCAUUAAUGUACUAUCUCGAUCAUAUUUGUCUCUUGAUAGGUUGGCAGCGGGUUUUGGUUUAUGUUGGGUGCCUCCGGGCUUGUACUUAAAUAUGAUUUGUAUUAAUGAGCUCCUGGAUUGCAUUUUUCAAGUGCCAGCAUUUCUCUGUAUUAUGCCCCAGAGUACCAGAACAAUAUUCAUAGCUUACAGAAUAAUCAAGAUUCUUCGGAGAAGGAUUUGGCAAUUUUGACUCGAUCGGCCUCGGCAUAGGCAAUUGUCUUAGCCUGUGGAACAAACUAGUAUGGGAUUCUCCUAAUGGAGUGAACGUUUUCUUCCUCUGCAACCUCUCAUUCUUAAAUGAUUGAUUAGGCUAGAAACCUGAUCCAGGAGGGUUUCGAUAGGCUCGUAUGGGUGGGUAGGUAUUUUAUAGGGUUGGUGCAUGCAAUUGUGCGUGGGCAGGAGGUUGGGUGUAUGAUUGGGUGUGGGGGACAGAAAAAUAGGGGUUUUGUGAUGGGUAGUAAUGUUGGGGUGGAUUAUACGGAGUAUGGGAAUAGGUUUGGUUGUGGGGUUGAGGCUGUUAUAGUGGUGAGACGAGCCCCUGGGUCCGAACCAAGCUCCUGAAUCGAUCGUUGCUACAUCCUCUUUCUUCUUCUUUCCGAUUACUCCCCUAAUACCGCUUUGAAUGGCCUGGGUAGUUGCCUUAAUAGCCGAAUAGCUCAUGAUUUUGAUUGACUUAAGCCCUUCUUCCACCAUACCUCCCAUCUUCGCUAUUUCAUUGAAGGACUUGUCUAUAGCUAAUACCAGAUGGUCGUAAUAAGUAGGUUCUAAGGCUCGCAGAAAAUAAUCCACAAUUUCGCUUUCUUUCACUAGAGGGUCGACCCUUGCUGCUUGUUCUCCCCACCGAAAACCGUACUCCCUGAAGCUUUCAUUAUCCUUUUUCUCAAUCUUCGUCAGAGACAGACGAUUCAGAACAAUCUCGAGGUUAUACUGGAAAUGACAAGCAAAUGCCUGAGCUAGAUCAUCCCAUGUAUGCCAUCUGUCGUGAUCCUGCCGAGUGUACCACCAUAGCGCCGAACCACUCAGACUUUGGCUAAAAUAUGUCAUUAGUAACUCGUCUUUCCCGUUAGCUCCCCUCAUCUUGCUACAAAAAUCUGUACAGUGUGCCACCGGGUCUCCGUGCCCAUUAUACAAAUCAAACUUGGGCAUCUUAAAUCUCACCGACUGUCACACCUUCUUUUUUUACACACUCCAUCCCACUGGAUAGUAUAUAAUGGAGUUUUUCCAAUUUAAGUAAUAUUAUUCGAAAUGAAAUUAUUUAUUUAAUUUUCAGAGUCGCCACUUGGGAUAGGUUUGUUUUCUGGUGUCCCAAGUCACCAAUUUAUUUUAAAUCCCAAAUCGAGGAAAAUUCGACUUUCUUUGUGAAGUCUGCGAACCUGAAAUUAUGAAUAAAGAAUUUUGUUAACUCGAAGGAAGGUGUUAGGCACCCCAGAUUCCGUGAUUCUAGCAUGAUUGCUUAAACUAUUAUAAUUGGCCUAUUAUCUAAUUUUAAUACAUUGUUUAGCCUAUGGUGUGAAUUUAAAAUUACUAACCACUUUUAAUUAAUUUUAGGAAAAUUCAACAUUAUCUAAAACAUGUUUUUGCACAAAGCUCAUGAUAUCACAAAAUCAACAACAACCAUUUAAAACUCAACAUGGGAACAGACAAUUUCAGAUUUUAAUUCAAACUUAACGUCAGAUAUAAAGAAGACCUUUAUCAAACAUAUAAGUGAACAACUAUUGCAGAUUUAACAAUAUUACCGCAUCCAAACAAUAACUACAUUACUGGAGAUUGAAAUUGGUACCUCCACAACAAUACAAACUGCAAUUAGCCAGUUGAAGGCAAGAGAUAAGGAGCAGGCACAUCAGUGCAAUGAAACAGCCCAAACAGCUCCAAUUAUGGACUAGAUUCAGCUUGAAAACCCAGGAAAGCGACAUAGGAGAUCACUUUGAAUCGACAAACACAAACUAAUUGUUUUUGAGUGUAGAAAUCAACUUUUUAUUCUAUUUUUGAAGCUGAAAAUUUCAGAUCUUAGAAAGGAAAUUUUUUAAUCUCAAAAUCUAUUUUCAGAUGUUUCUAAGUAUGUGUAGACAAGUGUGAGAGGAGGUGAGCGAAUUCCCUAAUUUUUUUUUUGUGUUUUUCUAUGGAAAAUGAAUAGGAAGAAGAAAGAAGCUCUCUAUGUUGCGCUAUUUUUUCUGUCUUUUUUCAUAGGGGAAGGUCUCUUUUUGAGGGGAUCAGAUCUGUAUAUUGUGAUUAUUGGAAUAAGAAAGAAUAGAGAAAACCCAAAAAUUAGAGUUGCGCUGAUUUUCAUUAUUUUGCAGAAGAUCUCCUCCUAUAGGUCUAAGUCUAAGUUUUAAUUGGAAGGUUAUGUGUUUUGAGCUAAUGUAUUUAAGUGUAUUUG